UCAUUCUUUCGUUCAUUCUUCCCUCCUUCCUUCCUUCCUCAAAUGGGAAAGAGUCAAGAGCCAAUUUGCCAGCGGUUUCCCUUGUUGCCAAGGUUCUGGACUGGCACUUAGGGUAGGCAAUCACUGGAUUAUCUUCUGUGUUCGGUUUUGACAGCCAGGGUAGGAACUUGUAGCACGCAGCGAGGACAGGGACCAGCCAUUGGGGAUUUGAGCGAAUGUUUCGUCUUGGAUUCUGUUGAAGUGUAUACUUAACUGUUGGAACUGUGCUGGCAAUGACAGCCUUUGACACUCUGCAGAGCAGAAGACCCCAGUGUAGGAAUGGCAGUGCCUACUCUGAAAGUGAGAAGGGUGACCACACACAUCACUGAUGGAAAGAAGGAAAGUCUUCCCCCAGAAGAAGACAAAAGGGGAGGCCAAUUUGCCUGGAAUUUGCAUAUGUUGAUUUAUAGGCCUAGAUGGCCAUUACUACGAUUCAAACAGAAAUAGAAUACAUCUCAUCAUUGUCGUAAAGAUUGUGACCAGGUGCUUGAUGUUCGGCUUAGCUUGAUGCCCAUGUACUACUUCAAGGCAUUCCCUUCUUAUGGCGCUUUAUCUUUCAACUGGACUUGGCCAGACACCCCUCCAAAUAGAGGGCUCCUUCAUAUAAAGGACUGUCCUCUGUCAAGCAGGACUCAUGGCCAGCCUACCUGUCUCAUGCACCUUCAUUUGUGUACAUCCUCUGUGGAUGUAAUGUGGGAGAAGUAGCAGAGGCUUCCAAAAUUCUCUACUUCCAAAUCUCUCCCUGCAUUUUGGAGCUUGGAGCUUCCUGCGUGUGAAGGAAUUGGACUGUUUAAAAAGAAAUCAAAAUCUUGUACUGUAUAUAUCUUAGGUUGGGGAUUAUAGGGUUAAUCUGCUUCUGAGAGACAACCUAGCUGGCAGGUAAAGUCAGGAGGUGUUAAAAAAUAAUGAAGCGAAGUGUGGAAUAUGGACAAGUUGGGUUUGCAGAGGGGAUUAAGGUAAAAGUGUAUUACUUUGAUGCUUGGGUUGUUUGUGGAUUGUGACAUAGCAAAGAACAGUGGCUCAAAGAUAUAGAUAAGGGGCAACUUACAGAGACAAGAGAUGGGAGGGUCUCAGAAGGAACUGAAGAGCACAAGCAGGCACUGGAGGCUAGAGGGAAAGAGAGCUGCUAACUGCCAUACCAUCCUAAGAGCUCUAAUUGAAAGAAUUUUGCUUAACAGAAUUUUAGCCACUAGGAAACAGUUUGGAUAAGACUAAUUGGAUGCAUUUAUCCUGAUUUAUUUCCAUUACCCCCUCUUUGCUAUUUAGGGAAUGUUUUGUAACCUUUCCCCUAAGAACAAUCUUCUUCUUUAGUAAACUUUUGAACUUGA